rnacentral:rRNA from 1 species
GACGAACGCUGGCGGCGUGCUUAACACAUGCAAGUCGAACGGAAAGGCCCUGCUUUCGUGGGGUGCUCGAGUGGCGAACGGGUGAGUAACACGUGAGUAACCUGCCCUUGAGUUUGGGAUAACUUCAGGAAACUGGGGCUAAUACCGGAUAGGAGCUCCUGCUGCAUGGUGGGGGUUGGAAAGUUUAGGCGGUGUGGGAUGUACUGGGGGCUUAUCAGCUUGUUGGGGGGGUAGUGGCUUACGAAGGCUUUGACGGAUAGCCGGCCUGAGAGGGUGACCGGCCACAUUGGGACUGCGAUACGGCCCAGACUCCUACGGGAGGCAGCAGUGGGGAAUAUUGCACAAUGGGGCGAAGCCUGAUGCAGCAACGUCGCGUGCGUGAUGACGGCCAUCGGGUUGUAAACCGCUUUCGCCUGUGACGAAGCGGGUGUGACGGUAAUGGGUAAAGAAGCACCGGCUAACUACGUG